rnacentral:tmRNA from 1 species
GCAUGUGCCUGUGCAUCCAGACCCGGGGGACGCGCUCACAGGAUCGCGGAACCGGUGUGCUCCGGGCUGGAACCGCUAAAACGCUCCGAAGCUGGCUUCGUGUUUUCCCCGCCAACCGGGUAGCACGCGGCGAGAUCAAUAGGCUGGACACGCACGUAGAUCCUGUAGCGUAGGGCUUGCGGACGCGGGUUCGAUUCCCGCCGCCUCCACCA